UACAGAGGGUGCAAGCGUUGUUCGGAAUUAUUGGGCGUAAAGGGCGCGUAGGCGGUGCGGUAAGUCACCUGUGAAACCUCUGGGCUUAACUCAGAGCCUGCAGGCGAAACUGCCGUGCUUGAGUGUGGGAGAGGUGCGUGGAAUUCCCGGUGUAGCGGUGAAAUGCGUAGAUAGCGGGAGGAACACCUGUGGCGAAAGCGGCGCACUGGACCACAACUGACGCUGAGGCGCGAAAGCUAGGGGAGCAAACAGG
rnacentral:rRNA from 1 species